ensembl:lncRNA
GAACGUCACCUGCUGGAUAGAUGGAGUAAAUCCCACUGAUGGUUUCUCCGGAGUUAUGGAUGUCGGAGCAGUCGAAUGGCUUUAAUCCAUCAGAAACAGACACCAUGAACCCCAUAAAAACAGAGAGCAAAGCCACAACAAACAUUGUCAUCUAUAGAGAGACACGACUGAUGAUCAUCCUCAUUUAUAAUGAUCAAACCACACUACAUGUGUGAUCAACAUGAACUUAUUGCCAUCUUUUCUUACUGCAAUCUUGCCUUUUCUUGAAAAAUUCUGAAGUAAAAAACAAUGUUGCUGAAUGGUUAUCUGAACGUUGUAAAUAUGUCUGAAUGUUUUGUGAGGUAAAUAAUGGAGAAUAAAACAGUAACUCACCGUUUGUGUUGUGAUGAUGUUCACGGGUCACAAGCACUCUGUUAAAUAUCUGUCAGAUCAGGCUCCACCUCUGUGUUACCACAUAGAUUAGAUAUAUGUUAAUAUUGUAAAACCCUCGAUUCUUUGCACGAAUUAGUUAAAAGUUAUAAUGUCCUAAUCUGCUUUUUUACACAAUGGUCUAAAGGUCACCCUGCAAACAAGCCUUUACGGGCUGCCAGCGCAGGGCCCCUGAGAAUUUGCUCAUUUGGCCUCCCUCAAUUCAUUUGGUUCCCUCAAUUAGCCUCCAGGAAGCCUUAGCACUGUUUUAUUGAAAAUAAUAAAGUUUCAAGUCACCAUUAUGGAGCUGAAAUUUAAAGUCUUAUCAAAAGUUUUAAUGCGAACAAUGCCGAGUGGAAAGACCGAUCCAAGAUUAUCCUCUGCCUCAGGCAAAGCAAACACGAACCAUGACUACUCACAGAUGGAUGUUACAAGUGUUGGGAUGAAGACUUCUGCAAAGUCGACACAGAGACUCGCACAGCUGCAUGGCCGAAGAUGGAGCAAACUAGGGUGGCAGGACAGAACAUGUGCUACAGAGAACAUGUCAGCUACAUCAAGGGUAAAAGGGUUAGUAUGAAUUAGAAAGAACUUUGGACCAAAGUGUCGUUACUCAUGCAGCACAAAUUUGAGUUAUGUUCCUUAACAACUUUAUGUUAAUAGCUUUCAUCCAGCUGAGUAGGCA